GGGCCCGCACAAGCGGUGGAGUAUGUGGUUUAAUUCGAUGCAACGCGAAGAACCUUACCAGGGUUUGACAUCCUGCGAAUUUCUGGGAAACCGGAAAGUGCCUUCGGGAGCGCAGUGACAGGUGGUGCAUGGCUGUCGUCAGCUCGUGUCGUGAGAUGUUGGGUUAAGUCCCGCAACGAGCGCAACCCACGUCUUUAGUUGCCAGCAUUUAGUUGGGCACUCUAGAGAGACCGCCGGUGAUAAACCGGAGAAGGUGUGGAUGACGUCAAGUCAUCAUGCCCCUUACAUCUGGGCUACACACGUACUACAAUGGCGCAUACAGAGGGCAGCCAACUUGCGAGAGUGAGCGAAUCCCCAAAAAGUGCGUCGU
rnacentral:rRNA from 1 species